GAUGAACGCUGGCGGCGUGCCUAAUACAUGCCAGUCGAGCGAACGGACGAGAAGCUUGCUUCUCUGAUGUUAGCGGCGGACGGGUGAGUAACACGUGGAUAACCUACCUAUAAGACUGGGAUAACUUCGGGAAACCGGAGCUAAUACCGGAUAAUAUUUUGAACCGCAUGGUUCAAAAGUGAAAGACGGUCUUGCUGUCACUUAUAGAUGGAUCCGCGCUGCAUUAGCUAGUUGGUAAGGUAACGGCUUACCAAGGCAACGAUGCAUAGCCGACCUGAGAGGGUGAUCGGCCACACUGGAACUGAGACACGGUCCAGACUCCUACGGGAGGCAGCAGUAGGGAAUCUUCCGCAAUGGGCGAAAGCCUGACGGAGCAACGCCGCGUGAGUGAUGAAGGUUUUCGGAUCGUAAAACUCUGUUAUUAGGGAAGAACAUAUGUGUAAGUAACUGUGCACAUCUUGACGGUACCUAAUCAGAAAGCCACGGCUAACUACGUG
rnacentral:rRNA from 1 species